UCUUGCGCAAUGGGGGAAACCCUGACGCAGCAACGCCGCGUGAGUGAGGAAGGUCUUCGGAUCGUAAAGCUCUGUCGGGUGGAAAGAAGUGGGGAAAGGUGAACAGCCUUUCUCCUUGACGGUACCACCGAAGGAAGCACCGGCUAACUCCGUGCCAGCAGCCGCGGUAAUACGGAGGGUGCGAGCGUUGUUCGGAAUCAUUGGGCGUAAAGAGCGUGUAGGCGGCUUGGCAAGUCAGAUGUGAAAUCCCUGGGCUCAACCCAGGAAGUGCAUUUGAAACUGCCCUGCUGGAGUAUGGGAGAGGGAAGUGGAAUUCCUGGUGUAGAGGUGAAAUUCGUAGAUAUCAGGAGGAACACCCGUGGCGAAGGCGACUUCCUGGCCCAAUACUGACGCUGAGACGCGAGAGCGUGGGGAGCAAACAGG
rnacentral:rRNA from 1 species